UACGUAGGUGGCGAGCGUUGUCCGGAUUUACUGGGCGUAAAGGGAGCGUAGGCGGACUUUUAAGUGAGAUGUGAAAUACUCGGGCUCAACUUGAGUGCUGCAUUUCAAACUGGAAGUCUAGAGUGCAGGAGAGGAGAAUGGAAUUCUUGGUGUAGGGGUAAAAUCCGUAGAGAUCAAGAGGAAUACUCAUUGCGAAGGCGACCUGCUAGAACAUAACUGACGCUGAUGCGCGAAAGCGUGGGGAGCAAACAGG
rnacentral:rRNA from 1 species